AGAGGCUGGGAGAGGCUAGCGGAAUGGUAGGUGUAGGGGUCAAAUCCGUUGAUAUCUACCAGAACACCAAAGGCGAAGGCAGCUAGCUAGAACAGUCCUGACACUCAUGGACGAAAGCGUGGGUAGCGAAUGGGAUUAGAUACCCCAGUAGUCCACGCCGUAAACGAUGGUUACUAAGGAUUGGUAGUCUCGACCCUAUCAGUCCUGCGAUACUCAAGCUAACGCCUUAAGUAACCCGCCUGGGGAGUACGGUCGCAAGACUAAAACUCAAAGGAAUAGACGGGGGCUCGCACAAGCGGUGGAGCAUGUGGUUUAAUUCGAUGAUACGCGAGGAACCUUACCAGGACUUGACAUCCAGCCUAUGUCUCUGGGUAAUGCCGGAGUUCUUAGUGGCUGUGACAGGUGUUGCAUGGUUGCCGUCAGCAUGUGCCGUGAGGUGCACCGUUAACUCGGGUAACAUGCGCAACCCUUGUCCUGUGUUAUUAUGUCACAGGAGACUGCCUCGGUUAACGAGGAGGAAGGAGGGGACGACGUCAAAUCAGCAUGGCCCUUAUGUCCUGGGCGACACACAUGCUACAAUGGUCGGUACAACGGGUAGCCAAGCCGUAAGGUGGAGCUAAUCCUAAUAAAGCCGACCCCAGUUCGGAUUGAGGGCUGCAACUCGCCCUCAUGAAGUUGGAAUCGCUAGUAACCGCGCAUCAGCCAUGGCGCGGUGAAUACGUUCUCGAGCCUUGUACUCACUGCCCGUCAAGCGAGGGAAGCCGGCAAUACCCGAAGCCCCCUGUUCAGGGGUUUAAGGUAGGGUUGGUGACCAGCGCUAAGUCGUAACAAGGUAAC
rnacentral:rRNA from 1 species